rnacentral:rRNA from 1 species
CAGUAGCCGCGGUAACACAGAGGGUGCGAGCGUUAAUCGGAUUUACUGGGCGUAAAGCGUGCGUAGGCGGCUUCUUAAGUCGGAUGUGAAAUCCCUGAGCUUAACUUAGGAAUUGCAUUCGAUACUGGGAAGCUAGAGUAUGGGAGAGGAUGGUAGAAUUCCAGGUGUAGCGGUGAAAUGCGUAGAGAUCUGGAGGAAUACCGAUGGCGAAGGCAGCCAUCUGGCCUAAUACUGACGCUGAGGUACGAAAGCAUGGGGAGCAAACAGGAUUAGAUACCCGUAUAGUCCCUGUCUCUUAUAC